UGUUGUUCCCGUGUCCAGUGUGGUCUGUCUGACUCUCAGCAGGUAUCUAAGGUGUUGUUGUUCCCGUGUCCAGUGUGGUCUGUCUGACUCUCAGCAGGUAUCUAAGGUGUUGUUCCCGUGUCCAGUGUGGUCUGUCUAACUCUCAGCAGGUAUCUAAGGUGUUGUUCCCGUGUCCAGUGUGGUCUGUCUAACUCUCAGCAGGUAUCUAAGGUGUUGUGGUUCCCGUGUCCAGUGUGGUCUGUCUGACUCUCAGCAGGUAUCUAAGGUGUUGUUCCCGUGUCCAGUGUGGUCUGUCUGAUUCUCAGCAGGUAUCUAAGGUGUUGUUCCCGUGUCCAGUGUGGUCUGUCUGAUUCUCAGCAGGUAUCUAAGGUGUUGUUCCCGUGUCCAGUGUGGUCUGUCUGAUUCUCAGCAGGUAUCUAAGGUGUUGUUCCCGUGUCCAGUGUUGUCUAUCUGACUCUCAGCAGGUAUUACAUUUACAUUUUACAUUUUAGUCAUUUAGCAGACGCUCUUAUCCAGAGCGACUUACAGUAGAGUGCAUACAUUUUAUUACAUUUAUUUUUACAUUUCAUUACAUUUUACAUACUGAGACAAGGAUAUCCCUACCGGCCAAACCCUCCCUAACCCGGACGACGCUAUGCCAAUUGUGCGUCGCCCCAAGGACCUCCCGGUUGCGGCCGGCUGCGACAGAGCCUGGGCGCAAACCCAGAGACUCUGGUGGCGCAGCUAGCACUGCGAUGCAGUGCCCUAGACCACUGCGCCACCCGGGAGGACAGGUAGUCUGUCUGACUCUCAGCAGGUAUCUAAGGUGUUGUUCCCGUGUCCAGUGUGGUCUGUCUGACUCUCAGCAGGUAUCUAAGGUGUUGUGAAACUGAAGAUCUCGUACAACGUUCUGUACUUCUCCAUUCACAGAACAGCGCAAACUGUCUCUAACCAGAAUAGAGAGAGGAGUGGGAGGCCCUGGUGCACAACUGAGCAAGAGGACAAGUACAUUAGAGUGUCUAGUUUGAGAAAGCUACUAUAGCCUUCGUUUCUCAGAACAAGAACAGAGUGACGAGUUUCAUAAGAAAGGUCUUUGUUUCUCACCAUUUUGAGCCUGUAAUUGAACCCACAAAUACUGAUGCUCCAGAUACUCAACUAGUCUAAUGAAGGCCAGUUUUAUUGCUUAUUUAAUCAGAACAAAAGUUUUCAGCUGUGCUAAGAUAAUUGUAAAAGGGUUUUCUAAUGAUCAAUUAGCCUUUUGAAAUGAUAAACUUGGAUUAGCUAACACAACAUGCCAUUGGAACACAGGAGUGAUGGUUGCUCAUAAUGGGCCUCUGUACGCCUGUGUAGAUAUUCCAUAAAAAAAUCUGCCGUUUCCAGCUACAAUAGUCAUUUACAACAUUAACAAUCUCUACACUGUAUUUCUGAUGAAUUUGAUGUUAUUUUAAUGGUCAAAAAACAUGCUUUUCUUUCAAAAACAAGUACAUUUCUAAGUGACACAAAACUUCAAAACGGUAGUGUACACACACACACAUAUUAAUUAUCAUUUGCAAAUCAACUAUUUGUUUUUAAAUGUAAAGGAGGAGACCUGUGUAUUAUUGGAAUGGUUAAUAACUGUCAUCAUUAAGCAUUCCAAUAAUCCAGUAAAUCAAUCAUGUUUCCAGAUUAAAUCUCAGGUUUUCUUUUCAAAUCUUUAUAAAUCUCUGUCUUUGCUUUGACAUCACUGUGAGAAGUCCUUCAAGAAGAGAUAUACGUUCAAGAUGCAUCUCACACACAUCCAGGAGUGUUGACAACAGCAGGUUGUCAGGAUGUAGUGCCAUUUUCAUCAUACAUAGCAUCUUAGCAGAACAUAAACAUCAAUCUUGUGAGGUCAAGGGGGUAUCACGCCCUGAUCUGUUAACCCUGUCCUUGUGCUUGUCUCCACCCCCAUCCAGGUGUCGCCCAUAUUUGCCAUUAUCCCCUGUGUAUUUAUACCUGUGUUCUCUGUUUGUCUGUUGCCAGUUCGUCUUGUUUUUCAAGUCAACCAGUGUUUUUGUUCCCAGCUCCUGCUUUUCCCAGUCUCUCUUUUUCUCGUCCUCCUGGUUUUGACCCUUGCCUGUCCUGACUCUGAGCCCGCCUGCCUGACCCCUCUGCCUGCCCCUGAGCCUGCCUGCCGUCCUGUACCUUUGCCCCACUACUCUGGAUUAUCGACCCCUACCUGCCUUGACCUGUCGUUUUCCUGCCCGUGUUGGUGCGCAAGUGUGAGUUCUAUGACUAUGACAACAAGAAGCUCCUACUCAACCACCAGCUGUACCACACCGAUGACCGGCCCUUUAAAUGUGACUACUGUAAAUACUCCACCUCUAAAGAGGACUUCCUGGUCUCUCACCUGGCCAUCAAACACACAGGAGAGAAACCGUUCUCCUGUGUGAUGUGCCACUUCAUGACGAAGCACCGUAAGAACCUGCGGGUCCAGUGUCGCCACCCUGAGGCGUUUGAGGAGUGGAGCGCUACGCACCCUGAGAAGCCCGUCAGACGGAGGAGGAGACCCUCCUUUACCCAGCAGCAGAUAGAGGAACUCAAACAACAACAUGACGACACACCGGGCCUAUAUCCUGGAAGUGGAUCCUGAUACAUUACAAGCCAUGCAGACAAUGCAGAACGCCUCAGUCUCCCAAGAUGCAAUGGGAAGCACCACCACCAUCUACGAACAGGCCGGAAACUCAGACCCGUCAGCCCAGAAUGCUCUGGAUCUGCUGUUGGGAAACUCACACAACAAAAAGUUGUGAUCUUUCACGUGUCUGAGACUGGCGAGACCCUGGUGCAGGAGGAGGGUUAUGAGGCGGGGACCAAUGAGAAUGGAGAGAUCACCCAGCUGGCCAUCCAGACCUACAAGGGGGCAGAAGGCUUCAGUGUGUUGGAACAGGUGGAACAAGCUACAGAGGAGAUCCACAGCAUUGGACUUGAAUACAGGUACAAUCAAUCACAUCAGUCAGGUGCAACACCAUGGUCUGACCAGGGUUGUGUUCAGUAGGGCAAUGGAAAACAAAAACCUCUGCUCUCAUUGGACAAGUUCAAGCAGUAAUCCGCUGUUUUCACUAUGUUCCAAUGUGUGUGUGUGUGUGUGUGUGUGUGUGUGUGUGUAUGUGUGUGUGUGUGUGUGUGUGUGUGUGUGUGUGUGUGUGUGUGUGUGUGUGUGUGUGUGUGUGUGUGUGUGUGUGUGUGUAAACAUUUUCACCACGUUUUUGCUGUCCCAAACACAUUUUCAUGAAUGUGGAUUUCUCCUCCAAUGCAUUUUCAGAACGAGGCUAGCAGAGAGGGCACGAGGGAGGCUAGCAGAGAGGGCCUGAGGGAGGCUAGCAGAGAGGGCACGAGGGAGGCUAGCAGAGAGGGCCUG